rnacentral:rRNA from 1 species
GAUGAACGCUGGCGGCGUGCCUAAUACAUGCAAGUCGAGCGAACGGACGAGAAGCUUGCUUCUCUGAUGUUAGCGGCGGACGGGUGAGUAACACGUGGAUAACCUACCUAUAAGACUGGGAUAACUUCGGGAAACCGGAGCUAAUACCGGAUGAUAUUUUGAACCGCAUGGUUCAAAAGUGAAAGACGGUCUUGCUGUCACUUAUAGAUGGAUCCGCGCUGCAUUAGCUAGUUGGUAAGGUAACGGCUUACCAAGGCAACGAUGCAUAGCCGACCUGAGAGGGUGAUCGGCCACACUGGAACUGAGACACGGUCCAGACUCCUACGGGAGUCAGCAGUAGGGAAUCUUCCGCAAUGGGCGAAAGCCUGACGGAGCAACGCCGCGUGAGUGAUGAAGGUCUUCGGAUCGUAAAACUCUGUUAUUAGGGAAGAACAUAUGUGUAAGUAACUGUGCACAUCUUGACGGUACCUAAUCAGAAAGCCACGGCUAACUACGU